UCCUACGGGAGGCAGCAGUGGGGAAUAUUGCACAAUGGGCGCAAGCCUGAUGCAGCCAUGCCGCGUGUGUGAAGAAGGCCUUCGGGUUGUAAAGCACUUUCAGUCGUGAGGAAGGUAGUGUAGUUAAUAGCUGCAUUAUUUGACGUUAGCGACAGAAGAAACACCGGCUAACUCCGUGCCAGCAGCCGCGGUAAUACGGAGGGUGCGAGCGUUAAUCGGAAUUACUGGGCGUAAAGCGCAUGCAGGCGGCCUGUUAAGUCAGAUGUGAAAGCCCGGGGCUCAACCUCGGAAUUGCAUUUGAAACUGGCAGACUAGAGUACUGUAGAGGGGGGUAGAAUUUCAGGUGUAGCGGUGAAAUGCGUAGAGAUCUGAAGGAAUACCGGUGGCGAAGGCGGCCCCCUGGACAGAUACUGACACUCAGACGCGAAAGCGUGGGGAGCAAACAGGAUUAGAUACCCUGGUAGUCCACGCCGUAAACGAUGUCUACUUGGAGGUUGUGGCCUUGAGCCGUGGCUUUCGGAGCUAACGCGUUAAGUAGACCGCCUGGGGAGUACGGUCGCAAGAUUAAAACUCAAAUGAAUUGACGGA
rnacentral:rRNA from 1 species